AUUUAGAUUUCCUGUAGGCUGUUCAACAUUCUCUCUACAGCAACCCACGGCGCUGUUGUUCUUGGUUGAAGGAACAAGCAAAUAAUAAUUAUGUUGGGUCAGGUUGUACGACGAUUCACAACCUCUGCGGUUCGCUCAUCGCAUUACGGCGAGGGACCAGGACAGAACCUGCCAUUCUCAGUGGACAACAAGUGGCGUCUGCUGGCAAUGAUGGUGGUGUUCUUCGGCAGUGGCUUUGCCUUCCCCUUCAUAGUCGUCAGACACCAGCUCCUGAAGAAGUGAAGUGGCGAUGCAUGCCACGUAACCUCCAAGGUCUGCGCCCAGAACAUAUUUAUCCAGCAGAACUCCAUUCGCUUCGAAGAAUGGAAAUCCCUAAUUGUGUUUAAGAUGCCACAUAAAACAGCACAGAGGUCACAGACAUAGAAACAAAAUAAAAAAGACGUCCUAUAUGAUACCAGGAACAUCUGCAAAAGACAGGGAGAGAUACUGUAAGAAAAAAGAGAAGCGAGAAGUGAAAUCCAUUUCUGAGUUUACAAAGCGAGAACAAAGAAGCUAGAGAAGGCAAUGGAAAGACAACUGACGUAUUAGAAUACAGACUUUAAAGAGAACAGGUGAAAUGGACACCUGUCUAUCAGGCAACACACCACGUCAGUCACCAGAUGACUAGAAGCCAGAACAUGAUGCCAACAUACCUGCCCCAAACUUACCUGUCCCUUAUGCACGCUCUGAUACCCCUUCCUCAUAGUCUGCAACAGGAUUGAGAAGUCAAAAGCUUGCUGGAAGGUUGGAAGAGGUCUUUGAGUUUUACGGAAACCUGAGAAAUACGGGGAAAAAGUAUGAUCAACUGAUGAAGAAAAUGGAGAGACAACAUUCCCCAAAGACAACGUGAGCAAGACAAAGGAGAUGAUGGAAUAAAGGAAAAGGAGGGCCGAACAUGCCCUCAUUCACAUCGACGGGGCUGUAGUUGAGCGGGUUGAGAGUUUCAAGUUCCUUGGUGUCCACAUCACCAACAAACUAUCAUGUUCCAAACACACCAGGAAAGUCGUGAAGAGGGCACAACAAUGCCUUUUCGCCCUCAGGAGACUGAACAAUUUUGUGCGGGUAGCCAGAUCCUCAAAAAGUUCAACAACUGCACCAUAGAGGACAUCCUAACUGGUUGCAUCACCGCCUGGUAUGGCAACUGCUCUGUUUCCGACUGUAAGGCGCUACAAAGGGUAGUACGUACGUCCCAGUACAUCACUGGGACCAAGCUUCCUGCCAUCCAGGACCUACAGUUGAAGUCGGAAGUUUACAUACACCUUAGCCAACUACAUUUAAACUCAGUUUUUCACAAUUCCUGACAUUUAAUCCUAGUACAAAUUUCCAGUCAGUUAAGAUCACCACUUUAUUUUAAGAAUGUGAAAUAUCAGAAUAAUAGUAGAGAGAAUUAUUUAUUUCAGCUUUCAUUUCUUUCAUCACAUUCCCAGUUGGUCAGACAUUUGCGUACACUCAUUUAGUAUUUGGUAGCAUUGCCUUUAAAUUGUUUAACUUGGGUCAAACAUUUCGGGUAGCCUUCCAGAAGCUUCCCACAAUAAGUUGGGUGAAUUUUGGCCCAUUCCUCCUGACAGAGCUGGUGUAACUGAGUCAGGUUGGUAGGCGUCCUUGCUCGCACACGCUUUUUCAGUUCUGCCCACAAAUUUUCUAUGGGAUUGAGGUCAGGGCUUUGUGAUGGCCACUCCAAUACCUUGACUUUGUUGUCCAUAAGCCAUUGUUCCACAAGUUUGGAAGUAUGCUUGAGGUCAUUAUCCAUUUGGAAGACCCAUUUGUGACCAAGCUUUCACUUCCUGACUGAUGUCUUGAGAUGUUGCUUCAAUAUAUCCACAUAAUUUUCCAUUCCUCAUGACGCCAUCUAUUUGGUGAAGUGCACCAGUCCCUCCUGCAGCAAAGCACCCCCACAACAUGAUGCUGCCACCCCCGUGCUUCACAGUUGGGAUGGUGUUCUUCGGCUUGCAAGCCUCCCCCUUUUUCUUACAAACAUAACGAUGGUCAUUAUGGCCAAACAGUUCUAUUUUUGUUACAUCAGACCAGAGGACAUUUCUCCAAAAAGUAUGAUCUUUGUGCCCAUUGUCAGUUGCAAACCGUAGUCUGGCUUUUUUAUGGAGGUUUUGGAGCAGUGGCUUCUUCCUUGUUGAGCGGCCUUUCAGGUUAUGUCGAUAUAGGACUCGUUUUACUGCGGAUAUAGAUCAUUUUCUACCAGUUUCCUCCAGCAUCUCCACAAGGUCCUUUGCUGUUGUUCUGGGAUUGAUUUUCACUUUUCGCACCAAUGUACGUUCAUCUCUAGGAGACAGAACGCGUCUCCUUCCUGAGUGGUAUGACGGCUGCGAGGUCCCAUGGUAUUUAUACUUGCGUACUAUUGUUUGUACAGAUGAACGUUGUACCUUCAGGCGUUUGGAAAUUGCUCCCAUGGAUGAACCAGACUUGUGGAGGUCUACACUUUUUUCUGAGGUCUUGGCUGAUUAUUUUGAUUUUCCCAUGAUGUCAAGCAAAGGUAGGCCUUGAAAUACAUCCACAAGUACACCUCCAAUUGACUCAAAUGAUGUCAAUUAGCCUAUCAGAAGCUUCUAAAGCCAUGACAUAAUUUCUGGAAUUGUCCAAGCUGUUUAAAGUCACAUUCAACUUAGUGUAUGUAAACUUGAAUUAUAAGUGAAAUAAUUUGUCUGUAAACAAUUGUUGGAAAAAUUACUUGUGUCAUGCACAAAGUAGAUGUCCUAACCGACUUGCCAAAACCAUAGUUUGUUAACAAGAAAUUUGUGGAGUGGUUGAAAAAUGACUUUUAAUAAUUCCAACAUAAUUGUAUGUAGACUUCCGACUUCAACUGUAUAUACUAGUCGGUGUCAGAGGAAGGCCCCAAAAAUGGUCAAAGACUCUAGUCACCCAAGUCAUAGACUGUUCUCUCUGCUACCGCAUGGCAAGCGGUACCAGAGCGCCAAGUCUAGGUCCAAAAGACUUAACUUCUACCCCCAAGCCAUAUGACUGCUGAACAAUUAUUAAAAUGGCCAGUGGGACUAUUAACAUUGAUCUCCCCCCCCCCCCCUUUGGUCAACACUGCUCUACUCGCUGUUUAUUAUCACUUUACCCCUACCUACAUGUACAAAUUACCUCAACUAACCUGUACCCUGCACAUUGACUCAGUACCGCUACCCACUGUAUAUAGCCUCGUUAUUGUUAUUUUUUGUUAAUUUUUAUUUUUAACUUUUGUUUAUUUUGUAAAUAUUUUCUUAACUCUAUUUCUUGAACUGCAUUGUUGGUUUAGGGCUUGUAAGCAUUUCAUGGUAAGGUGAAUACCUGUUGUAAUUGUCACAGAAGAGAAAAUCACUAGAUUCUAUGACUGUGAUGACAACAGUAGAGCAACAACAGGGAAAAAGGACACACUAACGAGCAAUAAGAAAAUAAAGCAGAAGCGCUUCUUGAAUGGCACAAUUCAGAACCUUUAUCAGAAAUUUAAGAAGGAAUUUUCAGAGAUUAAAAUGUCCUACUAUGAAUUCUGCAAAAGACGUCAUUUUUGGGUUGUCAAGCCAACAGUCCAGGAUAGGGACACAUGCCUCUGCAAAACCCACGCCAACCUCCAGUUCAUGGCGGACAAACUACAGUACGACAAAGUGAUCUGCUGCAGCAACAUUGAGACCUUAUUGAGUGUUUGUGCUGUGAGAACCAGAAGAAAGAGUGUGUCAUGACGCUAGCCCUUUCAGUGAAUUGGCUAGCAGAGAUGUGAACAACCCCCCCCCCUGUUAGGAUGGGGGGUGGGGGGGACAGUUUUAUGACUACAACCACGUCGUAAAUUCCUUGCAGAGACUUGUCUCCCUGACCAUGCAGUAUGGGAGAGAGAGGGUCACAGUAGAACAAAGGAACUCUCCCAACAAAUUGUACUACACCCCAGAAUUUGAGAAUUGAACAAUAUUCCAAUUUUGGAGAAUGUGUAAACGGUCGGUGGAGAAGCCAGCUACGACCCGGUCCAUUUAGUUUCAUGUUUGUGACCUCAUGAAAGACAAUACAGCCACAUUACCCUACCUCUGUUUAUACAAGGUCCUCAAUUAUGAGGCUUGCAUCUAAAGGUUGGAUAAAAAAUUUGACUAAGUAUAAUAAUACUUUUGAAAAGAUUACAAUGUGAUUUAAGUCUUCUAAAGUGAAAAGUGUUUGUUUUAAUGGUAACUCGUGUCCAGCCAGUGGACACGCCCAAGUGAAAAGACAUUGGUUGGAAAUGAUGAACCAACCCCUUUUCCACAUUUCUAUAAAAGCCUCAUGACUCAAAGUCACCUUAGUUCCAAAUACCGUGAGGACAUUUAAAAGGGCUAAUUCUAAUUUCAACUCUAUAGGCCAGGAAACGUGAGAGCUUGCUCCACACGUGAAAUGGUAUAAACGCUGAACUAUUGAUCACCUAAAGAAGAAGUGCAUACUAAACUAGCAUAUAUCAGACUGCAGCUGAACAUAUGUGCAAAUCUAGUACGAGAACACUGACCAACGAGGAAGCAUCUGCAGAAUGAGAUGAAUCUCUCAGACCACGUGAACCUCUCACACGACGACCCGGAAGAUUCCACAAAGGACGAGGGCGACAUCGACUGGGCAAACCAGAGCGUCACAUCACCACCUCAACUAUCGAAGCCAGCUUCAUGUAAAUACAAUGCAUUGCUUUUCUGAAUGAGCGGCCGUUUAGUGGCAUAUAUAUAUAUUUGAGAAUAUCUUCCCAGGUCCUUAGUCCUCCUUCCAAAACCCCCUUCUCUUCUCUCUGAAUCUAUCGUGUUAUAACCAAACUGUUUCUGUUUAGUCCACUAGGGACAGUAUUUACUGUAUAAUGUUAUUAUGUAUUGUACAUUCUGUAAUUGUUUAAUUAGUUAGUAAUAAAUAAUUGAGCCAA
rnacentral:lncRNA from 1 species